rnacentral:rRNA from 1 species
GGCUACGGAUGGUCAUGCGUCGCAUUAGCUAGUUGGCGGGGUAACGGCCCACCAAGGCGACGAUGCGUAGGGGUUCUGAGAGGAAGGUCCCCCACACUGGUACUGAGACACGGACCAGACUCCUACGGGAGGCAGCAGUGAGGAAUAUUGGUCAAUGGCCGCAGGGCUGAACCAGCCAAGUCGCGUGAGGGAUGACGGUCCUAUGGAUUGUAAACCUCUUUUGUCAGGGAGCAAAGGGCGCCACGUGUGGCGCUUUGCGAGUACCUGAAGAAAAAGCAUCGGCUAACUCCGUGCCAGCAGCCGCGGUAAUACGGAGGAUGCGAGCGUUAUCCGGAUUUAUUGGGUUUAAAGGGUGCGCAGGCGGAAUGUCAAGUCAGCGGUAAAAUUUCGGGGCUCAACCCCGUCGUGCCGUUGAAACUGGCGUUCUUGAGUGAGCGAGAAGUAUGCGGAAUGCGUGGUGUAGCGGUGAAAUGCAUAGAUAUCACGCAGAACUCCGAUUGCGAAGGCAGCAUACCGGCGCUCAACUGACGCUCAUGCACGAAAGCGUGGGUAUCGAACAGGAUUAGAUACCCUGGUAGUCCACGCAGUAAACGAUGAAUACUAACUGUCCGGGCAGAAUGAUGCCUGG